CCUACGGGAGGCAGCAGUGAGGAAUAUUGGUCAAUGGACGAGAGUCUGAACCAGCCAAGUAGCGUGAAGGAUGACUGCCCUAUGGGUUGUAAACUUCUUUUAUAUGGUAAUAAAAUGUUCCACGUGUGUGCUUUUGUAUGUACCAUAUGAAUAAGGAUCGGCUAACUCCGUGCCAGCAGCCGCGGUAAUACGGAGUAUCCGAGCGUUAUCCGGAUUUAUUGGGUUUAAAGGGAGCGUAGGUGGAUUGUUAAGUCAGUUGUGAAAGUUUGCGGCUCAACCGUAAAAUUGCAGUUGAAACGGGCAGGCUUGAGUACAGUAGAGGUGGGCGGAAUUCGUGGUGUAGCGGUGAAAUGCUUAGAUAUCACGAAGAACUCCGAUUGCGAAGGCAGCUCACUGGACUGUAACUGACACUGAGGCUCGAAAGUGUGGGUAUCAAACAGGAUUAGAUACCCCGGUAGUC
rnacentral:rRNA from 1 species